rnacentral:tRNA from 1 species
GCGCGAGUAGCUCAAUGGUAGAGCACCGGCUUCCCAAGCCGGGGGUUGCGGGUUCAAUCCCCGUCUCGCGCUCCA